UACGUAGGGUGCGAGCGUUGUCCGGAAUUAUUGGGCGUAAAGGGCUUGUAGGCGGUUUGUCGCGUCUGCUGUGAAAAUCCGGGGCUCAACCCCGGACUUGCAGUGGGUACGGGCAGACUAGAGUGUGGUAGGGGAGACUGGAAUUCCUGGUGUAGCGGUGGAAUGCGCAGAUAUCAGGAGGAACACCGAUGGCGAAGGCAGGUCUCUGGGCCACUACUGACGCUGAGAAGCGAAAGCAUGGGGAGCGAACAGG
rnacentral:rRNA from 1 species